AUCGCAACGGACAGAGACGACCAGAUGCAUACGAACGACUACCAGCGGGGAGUGACCUGUGCCAUAUUUCUCUUAACGUCUCAGGUAUUCAAGAAAUGGCAACAGCCAGAAGUCGCCAUCUUAUCCAGCACGUUAUGGGUACACUCUGGCGGCUCCUACCUCUGCGUCCUACCACCACC